rnacentral:lncRNA from 1 species
AGUUACACAUAUUUGGAAGAACACAUUAUUUCAGAAUUUUGUGAAGCUGUACGGAUGGUCUCCAGUACAACAUUGAAAAGAAGUGGUGAGAGAGCUAACAUCCUUGCCUUGUUCCUGAGUUUAUAAAGAGUUUCUAGAUGCAAACACACACACACACAAAAGUGUGCUUCCAGAAGAUGCUGCUGGGAAGGCCACUGCAUCCCUAGGGAGCCAAAUCAAAGCAUUUUGUCCUAAUGUGUCCGGAAUUGGUGGGUUCUUGGUCUCACUGACUUCAAGAAUGAAGCCGUGGACCCUCGCGGAAAGAUAGAAUAGAAGCUACAAGAUCUGCAGUUAUGCUUCCUCUUACCCAAUUUACAGAUAAUAUAUGUUUGUGGCUGUGAUACACAGAAAAAUGGCAUCCAAGGAAAGUCCACCUCCUAAUCCUCAGAAGCUGUGAAUAUGUUACUUUAUAUGGCAAAAUGGACUCUGCAGAUGAGAUUAAGUUUCUGCCUGCCUGACAAUCACUCUGCUGAUGGCAACCAAAUAUUGUCUUCUUCCUGGAGUCUCAGGGAAAAUGUGGCCUGGGGCAGACCCUAGUUCUUCAGAUGGAAGGUGAAACUUCAAUACAUCACCGCAACAGGAAACAAUCUCAAGAAUUUGUAUUUACACAUCCUGGACAAAGAAAGUGUAAAUAAGUCUGGAAUGCAGUCAUCAGUUCCCAGGUCCUGGAAGGCAGGAGUCUGGAGUCAGGCAGAAAGAGAAAGCAGGCACAGUGACAACCAGCAGUACACUUAAGGAUUAGAGUGCAGAUUUUUCUAAGCUCCCAGGCCAAUGC